rnacentral:rRNA from 1 species
UGGGGCGCAAGCCUGAUCCAGCCAUGCCGCGUGAGUGAUGAAGGCCUUAGGGUCGUAAAGCUCUUUCGCCAGAGAUGAUAAUGACAGUAUCUGGUAAAGAAACCCCGGCUAACUCCGUGCCAGCAGCCGCGGUAAUACGGAGGGGGUUAGCGUUGUUCGGAAUUACUGGGCGUAAAGCGUACGUAGGCGGAUUAGUCAGUCAGAGGUGAAAUCCCAGGGCUCAACCCUGGAACUGCCUUURAUACUGCUAKUCUUGAKUUCAGAGAGAGGUGA